UGUGUGGAGCGUGGGACCUGAUUUCGUAGUAGUCAAGCGAUGGGGUGACGCAGGAAGGUAGCUCCGCCAGGCGAUGGUUGUCCUGGUGUAAGCGUGUAGGCCGGAACAUAGGCAAAUCCGUGUUCCAUAUAGGCUGAGACGUGAUGCGUAGCCGUUUGAGGCGAAGUAGAGUGAUCCUAUGCUGCCGAGAAAAGCCUCUAGUGAGUGCAUGCACGGCCCGUACCCCAAACCAACACAGGUGGUCAGGUAGAGAAUACCAAGGCGAUCGGGUGAACUGUGGUUAAGGAACUCGGCAAAAUGCCCCCGUAACUUCGGGAGAAGGGGGGCCAAACAUCCUGAAGCUUCUUGCAGGCUAGGGGUGGGUGGCCGCAGAGACCAGCGGAAAGCGACUGUUUACUAAAAACACAGGUCCAUGCGAAGUCGCAAGACGAUGUAUAUGGACUGACGCCUGCCCGGUGCUGGAACGUUAAGAGGACCGGUUAGCCUUUCGGGGCGAAGCUGAGAAUUUAAGCGCCAGUAAACGGCGGUGGUAACUAUAACCAUCCUAAGGUAGCGAAAUUCCUUGUCGGGUAAGUUCCGACCUGCACGAAUGGCGUAACGACUUUCCGGCUGUCUCAACCACAGGCCCGGCGAAAUUGCACUACGAGUAAAGAUGCUCGUUACGCGCGGCAGGACGGAAAGACCCCGGGACCUUUACUAUAGUUUGGUAUUGGUUUUCGGUUCGGCUUGUGUAGGAUAGGUGGGAGACUGUGAAGCGGUGACGCUAGUUACUGUGGAGUCGUUGUUGAAAUACCACUCUGGUCGAAUUGGGAAUCUGAACCUCGGGCCAUGAUCUGGUUCAGGGACAGUGCCUGAUGGGUAGUUUAACUGGGGCGGUUGCCUCCUAAAGAGUAACGGAGGCGCCCAAAGGUUCCCUCAGCCUGGUUGGCAAUCAGGUGUUGAGUGCAAGUGCACAAGGGAGCUUGACUGUGAGACAGACAUGUCGAGCAGGGACGAAAGUCGGGACUAGUGAUCCGGCACCUCCUGGUGGAAGGGGUGUCGCUCAACGGAUAAAAGGUACCCCGGGGAUAACAGGCUGAUCUUGCCCAAGAGUCCAUAUCGACGGCAUGGUUUGGCACCUCGAUGUCGGCUCGUCGCAUCCUGGGGCCGGAGUAGGUCCCAAGGGUUGGGCUGUUCGCCCAUUAAAGCGGCACGCGAGCUGGGUUUAGAACGUCGUGAGACAGUUCGGUCCCUAUCCGCCGCGCGCGUAGGAUACUUGAGGAAGGCUGUCCCUAGUACGAGAGGACCGGGACGGACGAACCUCUGGUGUGCCAGUUGUUCUGCCAAGGGCAUGGCUGGUUGGCCACGUUCGGAAGGGAUAACCGCUGAAGGCAUCUAAGCGGGAAGCCUGUUCCAAGAUGAGGUAUCCCACCCCUUUGUGGGUUAAGGCCCCCAAGAGACCAUUGGGUUGAUAGGCCAGAUAUGGAAGCACAGUAAUGUGUUGUUGAGUUGACUGGUACUAAUAGGCCGAGGACUUGUCU
rnacentral:rRNA from 1 species